UGUGUAGAAAUGAACUCGUGUCAGAGUUUCAAAAGGAAUUAAUAUUUUUGGUAAAAUGUGCUAAUGCAGAGAGAAGAUUAGUGGUGGGUAAUGAAAGCAGUGCAUUCUUUCGUAUGGAAAUAGAACUAGAGUAAAUGUCCUGCAGGUGAUUGGGCUGUAGCAAUUUUGCUGAAGAUUAAAGUUUGAUUGACCUUUGUUAGGGUGAUUAACCCUUCUAGAAUUAAAAGCCAGGGCUGAAUUAUUCUGCCAAUUUAAAUGCAAA
rfam:Erinaceus europaeus cont1.186170, whole genome shotgun sequence.